rnacentral:lncRNA from 1 species
CUCUGUGAUUCCCAUCCUCAGUGAAAUUUCAUUGAGGGUUGUUAUAACACAAGUUUAUUUUAUAAAAGACUAAGAAAAUGGAAAAUAUCCCAUGAUAGACACAGAAAGAAUGCAGGUAAAAUGAUAUUCUACUGAAAGCAACAUAAAAAAAAGCUUUCAUAAAGUAAAAAGAGAAAAAGAAAUAGAAAAAGAUGAUUUGAAUAGUACAACCAGAGGCUAAGGGACACAAAUUUGAAACUGUCAUUCAAAAACACAGGGCUUAGUGUCUCUCAAACAAACUGGUUGUAUUGGAAAUUGUGCCUUUCAACUUAGCAGUAAGUGGAUUUGAAAUUUUGUUUUCACAGUAUUUACACUUGUUUCUUGCAGUGCUAUUGUGAUACAUUUAAAAGCCCACAAUAGAUGUUAACUUUUUUUUUGAACAAACUCCUCAUUUUUAUUCAUAAGAUGCAAACAAUUCAAAUGAUUUUUUGAGUAAUCAAAAUCACCAUGGAAAUAACACUUAGAAAUAGCAAGUUAAUUGCAGCCAAUCCCAUUUAGUUAUUCACUAUCCACUCAGCAAAGUAUUGAUUGAACAC